rnacentral:lncRNA from 10 species
GUCAAUGAAGAGUAGAGACUGGGAGGUGAGAUCUGGCCAGCUGGAUGCUGAGAACAUGAGGAUAAUGUUGCAACCCUGGGAUACUGGCACUGGAAGAAACUCUAGAAAUUACCUGGACGUAGUCCUUCAUUUUAUGGAAAUGGAGGCUCAGAGAAAUAAACUGAAUUGGUCAAAGACACACAGACAAUUUUUGGAAGAGCUGGUCCUAGAACUUGGGUUACUUCUAUGAUGAUAUGAUUUCUAGUUUUCCUAAGUUUCUCCUUGGGUAGGUGUACCUGGGUUUUCAGAGACAUGAUGAAUGAAAUCAUUAAAAAAAUACAGCAUUUCUACUCCUUGUAAUCUCAGGGAAUGAUUAUCCCAUCUAUGAAUAAUUGUCCCAUCUUUAUCCAUUUCUUCUACUUAGCCCUUUGCCCUCUUGUGCUUUGCUUUUUGCUUUGGGGGCAAAAAGCCCCCACCUAUGAAUGAUUGUCCCACAUCUAUGAAUGAUUGUCCCAUAUUUGUCCAUUUCUUCAACUUAGCUCUUUGGCUGUUGUGCUUUGCUUUUUGCUUUGGGGGCUUUUGUUUAUUUGGUUUUGGAUUUUUGAUAUUUUGUUUGAUCACACCAUUAUUCAAACCCAAAGACACGUUCAGGGAGUAGGAAAGAAAACUCAACCCACACAGUACUGGGUCCAUCACAGAGGUGUAUUAAAUAUUUAUGGACUUCAACCAAACAAUAUCUUUACUGGUCAGUACUUAAGAGCAAGAUGAGGAAUAAGGUUGAAAUUAUUUCCUAAGAAGAGGGGGUUUAUGUUUUAGUUAUCCAUUCUGUUCACACAUGUGAGGAAGACGGGAUACUGUAGUAGUUAAAAGGGCAGCUUGCUUCAAAGCUAGCCAAAGCUGAGUUUGAAUUCCUGCUCCAUUGUGAGUACCAGUGGAAGUCGCUAGGAGUUUUAAGAAAUGACCUGUUUCCAGACAGCAACUGGAAGCUGUGUAGGGAAAGGAUCAGAGAAACAGACUGAAGACAAAGAAACAGGCAGAGACCCUGGCAAAAGGCAGGUUGAGGGAUGACAAUCAAGCAUAUUGUUCUUUCUUGUUAGCAAGAACCACCAAAAAUUGGCGAUAAUCGCCACGCCAAAUUAUUUCCACCUGGUGAAGGUUGCAAUUGUAAAUUAGUUCAAACAUUGUGGAAGACAGUGUGGUGAUUCCUCAAGGAUCUGAAACCAGAGAUCCCAUUUGACCCAGCAAUCCCAUUACUGGGUAUAUACCCAAAGGAUUAUAAAUCAUUCUACUAUAAAGACACAUGCACAUGUAUGUUUAUUGCAGCACUAUUCACAAUAGCAAAGAUUUGGAACCAACCCAAAUGCCCAUCAAUGAUAGACUGGAUAAACAAAUGUGGCACAUAUACACCAUGGAAUACUAUGCAGCCAUAAAAAGAAUGAGUUCAUGUCCUUUGCAGGGACAUGGAUGAAGCUGGAAAUCAUCAUUCUCAGCAAACUAACACAAGAACAGAAAACCAAACACUGCAUGUUCUCAUUCAUAAGUGGGAGUUGAACAAUGGGAACACAUGGACACAGGGAGGGAAACAUUACACACCGGGGCC